GUUCGUUUUACAUAAGAAUUUAAAUAAUAUACAUAUCUGUUCGAUCCGUGCAUAUUAUGAAUUAAUUUACUGAUCGAUCGCUGACCGUUGUCAGGGGAACUCUAACAUAGAAGAGUGACGAAAGAUAACAAAGUGACAAUCAAGCGCAAAAAUCUAAAAAAAACUGACAACGCAUUGGCUAAAAAGGAAAAAAUAACAAACGGACAAACAAUAGUACACAUGAAACAACAUAGAAAACUAAAGAAUAAACAACACGAACCCCACCAAAAACUAGGGGUGAUCGCAGAUGCUCCGGAAGGGUAAGCAGAUCCUGCUCCACAUGUGGCACCCGUCGUGUUGCUAAUGUGAUAACAAAUCCGGUAAAUAGUCCAAUUCGGUAGGUCACAUUCAUGAAAGGAAAGGG
rnacentral:lncRNA from 1 species